rnacentral:misc_RNA from 1 species
UCUAAAAUGACACCGAUAUACCGAACGGUGCCCGUAAAAUGAAAACGAUGGAGCUAGGAACAACUUAACACCAAGAAAUAAGAAAUAGUACAUAUGCCAUGAACUAUUUUUAUUGCAUCUUACACUGUAGUGAAAUGUUGUAAUGUAAAGGCGAUUCAUCCAGAAAAUGGCGGAUGAGUACUGCCGAAAUAUAUUGCGGAUCAGUCUUGCCCAAAUUUGUCAAAAUCUUGGAUGGAAUGCUGCUCAAGCGACACCUCUGGAGCUUCUUACCGAUGUUUUGGAGAGAUAUCUCCUGGAAGUAGCCAAAGUUACCCAUCGUUACUCAGAGCAGUUUGGGAGGACCGACCCUAACUUAGAUGAUCUGGGCUUAGCGUUUGGACACUUAGGUAUACAACUAGGAGAAUUGGAGGACUACGUUCACCAUGUUGACCCAUUGCCAUUUGCCCAAGAGGUUGUGGCCUUUCCGGCUCCAAAAAGAAACAACCUUCAGUUCCCCAGAUAUGACAGCAGAGAAGUGCUACAAAGGGAGGAACACAUUCCUGAGUAUCUGCCAGCAAUGUUUCCUGAAGAGAUUGAGACUCCACAGUCUCCUCCUCCACACACCCAGCCAGAAACCUGUCUGCUUCCACUCCCUCCGACCACACCCUUGGCUGUCUCACCCUCUGACAUUCAAGUGGAUGGUACUUCAGUCAGCCCAGGAUUGUCCGACAAGCGCCUCCUGACCAGUCCACCAUCUGGGGGACCACCUUCCAAAAGGAUCAGAUUAACCACUCUACCAGAAGAGGCAGCACAUUCACAGUACGAGAUGAAGAGCAUGGCGAUGACUGUUGCUGGGGAGGUGAUGCCGACAGGUGGCUAUAUAGGCAAACUUCCUGAUGCUAAAACACCCCCUCAAGGCUUUCCAAAGAGGUUUCCAAAGGACAACACUCGAGGUUCUGCUUCAAAAUCAGCAUCUUUGCUGCCUGUGGCAAGAGAUAUUCUUUCCGAAUUAAAUAGCAAAAAGGAUUCAAAUGAAGGCUCCCAAAAAAAAGACAAGGAUAAAAGUUCUUCAAAUUCAUCAUCAAAAAAGAGUGGAGUAAAGAAAAAAUCAAAUACCAGCUCAGAAAAGAAAGAUGUGUCCAAGUCAAGAAGUAAAGUUAAAAAGGGCUUACUAACUCCCAAACCAAGGCCGAGGCCGAGGUCAAGGUCAAAGUCACCAGCAAGGGCUAAGAGUCCAAAGGGAGGGGGGACUAAGAAGGGACAGAACAAGGUGUUUAGUGAUAGUGGUGCUGGACUUUUCUCAGAAACAAUUAUGUUGGAGAGACAGAAAGGGCCCAGUUCAGAAAAGGGCAGGUCUAGUUCCCCAAGUGUUAAGAAUAAAGAUGAAUCCCUCUACAGUGCAGUCACAUCUCAUAAAAACAAAGAUUCACCUAGAUCUAUUCCUCUGGAUUUGAGUUGUAAACAAAAGGUUUCUAAACCCAGCGACUUGGAGGAAAAGAAACGUAGACUAGAUGCUAUUCAAAGUUCUAUUGACAGUGUGUUAAGACAAUCAACAUUAAACCAAACAGAAAAGGAGCCAGACAUUCCAGAUGACUCAUUUGUUCCAGUAGAAAAGGAAGUAGAAAAAGAAGAUUCUAAGCCAAUUGAAAAGAUAAAAGAUUUAAAUUUGAGUUCCUCUAUAGAUGAUACUAUCAAUGCUGUGAUAGGGGCAGCAGAUAGGGACGAUACACCGGUAGGGUUAACUCCCGUGUUGGUGAAGGAGGAGGUUAUAGAACAGGAUGUUGUUACACCAACACCUGCCUUGCCUCAGUCACCAGUUUUGACACCAGUGUUAACACCUCAAACCUCUCCACGCAAAAAAGGGAGACCACCCAAGAAAGGUAAAAACAAAGGCAAUAAGAAACCUUCCACUCCACCUGUGGCUCCGUCUGUUGUAGAACCACCACCUAUUAUGGAACCCAAGUCUCCAAAAGAUGAGAAGUUUGCUGUGUUUGACUUUCCCGAGAGUCCACCAAUGAGAUCCACUCCUAAACCCAGCUUUCCUGCCCCUGCCCCUGCCCCUGCCCCUGCCCCACCUGCUCAAGCACCAACUGCUCCCCGAAGUCCCAGUCCUGAACCUGUGGAAGAAGUGCCACCGGUUGUGGUGGAGGAACUACCCCCACCUGUGAUGGAGGAACCACCCAUUAACAUUAAGGUGGAUGAGAGUGCUCCUGUAGCACCUAUAGCAGAAAAAAGUCACAGCAAGGAUAAGGAGAAGCACAAAUCUAAGGAGCAUAAAAAGGAAAAGAAAGAGAAGAAAAAGGACAAAGAAAAGAAAAAGAAAAACAAAGAUAAAGACCGGGACAAAGAGAGAAGCAAACACAAAGACAAGAGUAGCAAGUCACCUGGUACUUUCCCUACUGGUUUGACGAAGCUGAAGAUUCGACUGGGCAGUUCUCCCUUCUCAUCGACUGUGACUUACAGUUCCAAGGCCAAGGAGCAGUCUCCAUCAGGGUCUCCAGCCCAGAGGCCGGAGAUACCAAAACUGGUCAUCAAACCAAUGCCUCCGCUGCCCUCUAGUCAGGAAAGGGGAUCUGACUCACCCAAGACAUCAUCUAGCAGUGCUAAAUCCAGUAAAAAGGAGAGUAAAUCUAAAAAGGAUGUCGGCCAUAUUGUCGUGAAGAAGGAAAUUUUCCCAGAAAAACUCCCCACUACACCACCACCAGUACCUAGGACACCAUCCCCAGCUCCAACAGCAAAAACACCCUCCCCAAUGAAGAAAACACCUUCACCUGUUCCAGUAAAACAUGAACCCUCAUCUGUGCCUCCGCCCAAGCCUAUGACUCCAGUGCCUCCGCCCAAGUCUGUGACCCCCGUGCCAAAGUUUACAGGGUCAGAAUCACCAGACCAAAGUUCCCAUGAUAAACCACCCAUUCUCAAAAUGGAAAUGAUUGACGAGCCACCAGUGCUGACACCACAACCUUCCCCUUGCCACAAGACUCCAACACCUCCACCCCCCAGGAAUAGAACCCCACCCAGGGUUCCUAUCAAACCUGCUCCUUCUCCUGUCCCUAGCCCUAAACAUCCCCCGUCACCCAUGCCUGUAUACUCCCCUUCACCUGUCCGAGUCAACUCUCCACCUCCUUCAGCAUUUACCUCUAAGUCAAUGUCAUCAUCUCCAGUAAAAACACCUUCACCUUCUCGCACCCGUACACCCUCUCCCAUCCCUUCACUUCCCCCCACACCCAUCCACCAUCCAUCCCCUACCCCUUCUCCUACACCUACGAAGCCCCCUACACCUUCCCCAACCCCAACACCUGCUCACUCUCCCUCUCCUGGCCCCCUCGUUAUAAAAGAAGCAUCUGACAUUCCACCUAUGCCACCACCCUCCAUUAGUAGUGCAUUACAAGCUGCAGCGACUGCCAAGACAGCCCUCCAGAGAACCGUUACCUCCGAGACUAUCGGGAGCUUUUUAGAUACCUCGUCUGGGGAGAAGAUCUGGAUCUGCCCUGCUUGUAAACGUCAGGAUGACGGCAGCCCCAUGGUUGGCUGUGACAUCUGCGAUGAUUGGUAUCAUUGGGAAUGUAUAGGGAUAAAUAAAGAACCUGAGGAGGAUAGCUGGUACUGCAACAAGUGUUUAGCCCCGGCGAGGAAACCAUCCAAACGUGGGCGUGGGGGUGGACGGGGUAGGGGCCGAGGCAGAGGCAGGAAAAAAUCUUUGAAAGACUAAUGUGUAUUACAAAACAAAUGACUAUAUAUUUUUUGCUGUUCAGACGGAUACUAAAGCAAUAAGUCCGGGCUGAAUUACAAAUCUGAACAGUUUUUUGGAGUAGAGCAGGAAGGAGAGUUCUGAGGAAACACUGCUCUGUGUUUAGAUUCUGUUGUGUUCCACUAUUGUUUGUGUACGUUACAGGUAGAUUGGAAACUCUUGUUUUAAUGAUUUGGCUAUAUUGAAUAUAAUUGUAUGAAACAGAUCUAGAGUACAUAAAUUAUUAUGAGGUGUUUUAUAAGAGAUAAUUUAUGUUAAAACAACUUCAGGUAAAUUGUACCACAGCAUUAGUUAUAAUCGCAGAGAAGAGCUUCACUCAGAGUGUCACUGUGGUUGUAAGGUUUCCAUAGUAACUGUUACUGUGGUUGUAAAGUUUCCAUAGUAACUGUAACUAUGACUAAGGUUUCCAUAGUAACUGUCACUGUGACUAAGGUUUCCAUAGUAACUGUCACUGUGGUUGUAAGAUUUCCAUAGUAACUGUUACUGUGGUUGUAAAGUUUCCAUAGUAACUGUCACUAUGGUUGCAAGGUUUCCAUAGUAACUGUAACUAUGACUAAGGUUUCCAUAGUAACUGUCACUGUGAUUGUAAGGUUUUCAUAGUAACUGUCUGUAUGGUUGUAAGGUUUCCAUAGUAACUUACUGUCACUAUGGUUGUAAGGUUUCCAUAGGUUUCCAUAGUUAUGUAAUAGCUAGGGGAUGAUAUUUAUCUAUCCGAAUAGCAUUUGUCUGGUAUGAAAGAAGAUGUAAGUUUGGAUUAAUUGCAUGUACCUGUUUAGAAGCCUGAUCAGGUGAAGAUAUGUCUUAAUUACAUCUUCCUGUAUGUUUCCUCAUGUGAGAUAUUUAUAAAUGGCAGCAAUUUGUUUUAUGUUUCAAAGGUUUUCUCUGUUGAUAAUUGUAUAAGAUACCAGAUUUAUUUGUCAUUAAGUUUAGGGUAACUAAAACGUGUUACAUAAUGCUAAGGUUUCAACUAAAAAGCAGUUCUCCAAUUGUGAAACUGGCUUAACACUUUUUGUUAACAAGUAGAAAUGCAUUGGGCAGAAGAAAUUAAAUUACAAAAAAAUGCAUUUUAUUUACAAAAUGUGACUCUGUAAACUAGAGGCACCUAUUGGUUAUAAAAAGAUAAAGGUACUGAUAAAGUGUUAACAAACUCAAAGCUGUAAAUUUCAGUUUUACGUUUAUGAUUUCUUUUAUAAAACUAGUUUGUUGAACCUGAAUCCGUUAAAGUGUUCAUAUUCACUGUACGAACCGUUAAAGUGUUCAUAUUCACUGUACGAACCGUUAAAGUGUUCAUAUUCACUGUACGAACCGUUAAAGUGUUCAUAUUCACUGUACGAACCGUUAAAGUGUUCAUAUUCACUGUACGAACCGUUAAAGUGUUCAUAUUCACUGUACGAACCGUUAAAGUGUUCAUAUUCACUGUACGAACCGUUAAAGUGUUCAUAUUCACUGUACGAACCGUUAAAGUGUUCAUAUUCACUGUACGAACCGUUAAAGUGUUCAUAUUCACUGUACGAAUAUUGACUUCAACCACUAAAAAUAUCUAAAUAUAAUGAAUGUGUCACACAUACAGUAGAUGUAGACACACGGUGGAAUGUUACGAUAUUUACAGGGUUUAACAUUACAGCUGAACAACGAAAUGAAUGUAUUGGCCCUUCAUGGAAUGUCAGGUUUAUACAUUGGAGAUCUGGUUUAUACAUAGUAGGUCUGAUUUAUACCAGGUGUAUAUUCUACAAGUUUCGGUUUAGAGAUGUUACGCUAUACAUUAUAUAUUGGGAAGUUUUAAGUGUGAAGUAAAGCAUUGUGUUAAGGACAAACUAAAGUCAAACACUAGAAUUCUCAUGUGUAGCAUUUUUCAUAUGUGUAAGGAUUUAUUUUACUAUUUUAUUAUGGUAAAAUUAAAGUAGAUAAAAUGUUCAUUUUCAUUUGUAUUUAUUCAUUAUUCAUUAUAGUUUAGACAUUUUUACGUUUUAUUUAAUAUGAAGUUGAAUGUUCUUGGUAGAAAGGACAGAUAAUUGAUGGAUGAAGAUGUAUACAACUGUAAUAAAAUUGUAUACAGCUUAUUUUGACAGUGU